rnacentral:rRNA from 1 species
GUAUAUUUGACAAUGGGCGAAAGCCUCAUCCAGCCAUGCCGCGUGUGUGAAGAAGGCCUUUCGGUUGUAAACCCCUUCAAGCGAGGCGGAGGCUACUUAGCUUAAUACUCUCGGAUAGUGGGCGUUACUCGCAGAAUAAGCACCGGCCAACACUGCGCCCGCAGCCGCGGUAAUACAGAGGGUGCGAGCGUUAAUCGGAUUUACGGGGCGUAAAGCGUGCGUAGGCGGCUUCUUAAGUCGGAUGUGAAAUCCCUGAGCUUAACUUAGGAAUUGCAUUCGAUACUGGGAAGCUAGAGUAUGGGAGAGGAUGGUAGAAUUCCAGGUGUAGCGGUGAAAUGCGUAGAGAUCUGGAGGAAUACCGAUGGCGAAGGCAGCCAUCUGGCCUAAUACUGACGCUGAGGUACGAAAGCAUGGGGAGCAAAC